UGAUGAUCGGACACGCUGAUUUCAUUGUCUGAGGCGGCAGUGAAGAUCCAGGAAAAAUCUCUGAAUCUUUCUACUCCAGCAUUGGCCUUGUCUGGGAUCCUCAGAUCCUAUCUAGGAUCCUGUGAACACUUCUGUGAUUGCAUCACUCCCGAGAACCACUGAAAUCGAAUUGCCUUUUGAGAGACCAUAUUAAAUACCCCUUUGUUGAGAAGGCUUAUGUUUUUCAGUAAUUGUGAGGAAAAACCUCUGUGUGUCCGUGGUGGCGAAAUUUUACAGUAAGUUUUUAAAUUUC
rnacentral:lncRNA from 1 species